GACGCUGGCGGCAUGCUUUACACAUGCAAGUCCGAACGGCUGCACGGUAAGAGCUUGCUCUUUUGGUAGGCGAGUGGCGGAACGGGUAGAGUAAUGCAUCCGAACGUACCGAGUAGUGGGGGAUAACUGUCCGAAAGGAUGGCUAAUACCGCAUACGCUUUGAGAAGGAAACCAAGGGCUCUUCGGACCUUGCGCUAUACCGAGCGGGUCGAUGUCUCGAUUAGCUAGGUUGGUGGGGUAAACGCCUACCAAGGCGACGAUCAGUAGCCGGGUCUGAGAGGAUGAUCCGCCACACUGGGGACUGAGACACGGCCCAGACUCCUACGGGAGGCAGCAGUGGGGAAUUUUGGACAAUGGGCCGCAAGCCUGAUCCAGCCAUGCCCGCGUGUCUGAAGAAGGCCUUCGGGUUGUAAAGGACUUUUGUCAGGGAAGAAAAGCUUUGGGUUAAUACCCUGGAGUGAUGACGGUACCUGAAGAAUAAGCACCCGGCUAACUACGUGCCAGCAGCCGCGGUAAUACGUAGGGUGCGAGCGUUAAUCGGAAUUACUGGGCGUAAAGCGAGCGCAGACGGUUACUUAAGCAGGAUGUGAAAUCCCCAGGGCUCAACCUGGGAACUGCGUUCUGAACUGGGUGGCUAGAGUAUGUCAGAGGGGGGUAGAAUUCCACGUGUAGCAGUGAAAUGCCGUAGAGAUGUGGAGGAAUACCGAUGGCGAAGGCAGCCCCCUGGGAUAAUACUGACGUUCAUGCUCGAAAGCGUGGGUAGCAAACAGGAUUAGAUACCCUGGUAGUCCACGCCCUAAACGAUGUCAAUUAGCUGUUGGGGCACUUGAUGCCUUAGUAGCGUAGCUAACGCGUGAAAUUGACCGCCUGGGGAGUACGGUCGCAAGAUUAAAACUCAAAGGAAUUGACGGGGACCCGCACAAGCGGUGGAUGAUGUGGAUUAAUUCGAUGCAACGCGAAGAACCUUACCUUGGUCUUGACAUGUACGGAAUCCUCCAGAGACGGAGGAGUGCCUUCGGGAGCCGUAACACAGGUGCUUGCAUGGCUGUCGUCAGCUCGUGUCGUGAGAUGUUGGGUUAAGUCCCCCAA
rnacentral:rRNA from 1 species